rnacentral:rRNA from 1 species
UACGUAGGGGGCGAGCGUUGUCCGGAUUUAUUGGGCGUAAAGAGCUCGUAGGUGGUUUGGUAAGUCGGAUGUGAAAUCUCCAGGCUCAACCUGGAGGGGUCAUUCGAUACUGCCAUGACUAGAGUUCGGUAGGGGAGUGUGGAAUUCCUGGUGUAGCGGUGAAAUGCGCAGAUAUCAGGAGGAACACCGGUGGCGAAGGCGGGUCUCUGGGCCGAUACUGACGCUGAGGAGCGAAAGCGUGGGGAGCGAACAGG